UACGUAGGUGGCAAGCGUUGUCCGGAUUUACUGGCGUAAAGAGCGCGCAGGCGGUCGUUCAAGUCGCGUGUGAAAGCCCCGGCUCAACUGGGGAGGGUCACGCGAUACUGAUCGACUCGAAGGCAGGAGAGGGUAGUGGAAUUCCCGGUGUAGUGGUGAAAUGCGUAGAUAUCGGGAGGAACACCAGUGGCGAAGGCGGCGCUCUGGGCCGGAACUGACGCUGAGGAGCGAAAGCGUGGGUAGCAAACAGG
rnacentral:rRNA from 1 species